UACGGAGGGUGCGAGCGUUGUUCGGAUUUAUUGGGCGUAAAGCGCGUGUAGGCGGUUUUAUAAGUCUGAUGUGAAAGCCCCGGGCUCAACCUGGGAAGUGCAUUGGAUACUGUAAGACUUGAAUACGGGAGAGGGCAGUGGAAUUCCUGGUGUAGGAGUGAAAUCCGUAGAUAUCAGGAGGAACACCGGUGGCGAAGGCGGCUGCCUGGACCGAUAUUGACGCUGAGACGCGAAAGCGUGGGUAGCAAACAGG
rnacentral:rRNA from 2 species